rnacentral:rRNA from 1 species
CUAAGAAUCUUCCGCAAUGGACGAAAGUCUGACGGAGCGACGCCGCGUGGGUGACGAAGGCCGUGAGGUUGUAAAGCCCUUUUCUACCUGAGGAAUAAGCCUGAGAGGGAAUGCUCGGGUGAUGACGGUAGGGUAGGAAUAAGCCCCGGCUAAUUACGUGCCAGCAGCCGCGGUAACACGUAUGGGGCGAGCGUUGUUCGGAAUUAUUGGGCGUAAAGGGCGUGUAGGCGGAUAUGCAAGUCUGGUGUGAAAGACCGCAGCUCAACUGCGGGCACGCGCUGGAAACUGUGUGUCUUGAAUCCUUGAGGGGGAACUGGAAUUCCUGGUGUAGGGGUGAAAUCUGUAGAUAUCAGGAAGAACAUCAGUGGCGAAGGCGAGUUCCUGGCAAGUGAUUGACGCUGAGGCGCGAAAGCGUGGGUAGCAAACA